AUAGCUCUGUGCGGUGGAUCGCUCGGCUCGUGGGUCGAUGAAGAGCGCAGCCAGCUGCGUGAUGUAGUGCAAAAUGCAGGACACACAAACACUGAACAUCGACAUCUUGAACGCACAUUGCGGCCCGGGCUUCUCGGAGCCUGGGCCACGUCUGUUCGAGUGUCAGCUAAGUA
rnacentral:rRNA from 1 species